UUGGAGGGCAAGUCUGGUGCCAGCAGCCGCGGUAAUUCCAGCUCCAAUAGCGUAUAUUAAAGUUGUUGCAGUUAAAAAGCUCGUAGUUGAAUUUCGGGGUCAGUAGGCUGGUCGUGCCACAGGUAUGUACUGGUCUCACUGAUUCCUCCUUCCUGAUGAACCGUAAUGCCAUUAAUUUGGUGUUGCGGGGAAUCUGGACUGUUACUUUGAAAAAAUUAGAGUGUUUAAAGCAGGCUAACGCUUGAAUACAUUAGCAUGGGAUAAUGAAAUAGGACGAUCGAUCCUAUUUUGUUGGUUUCUAGGAUUGACGUAAUGAUUAAUAGGGAUAGUUGGGGGCAUUAGUAUUCAAUUGUCAGAGGUGAAAUUCUUGGAUUUAUUGAAGACUAACUACUGCGAAAGCAUUUGCCAAGGAUGUUUUCAUUAAUCAAGAACGAAAGUUAGGGGAUCGAAGACGAUCAGAUACCGUCGUAGUCUUAACCAUAAACUAUGCCGACUAGGGAUCGGAUGAUGUUAAUUUUUUAAUGACUCAUUCGGCGCCUUACGGGAAA
rnacentral:rRNA from 1 species